rnacentral:tRNA from 1 species
UUAAUUGAAACCAAAUAGAGGUCUCUUAUUGUUAAUAAGAAUAAUGAGUUUAAUAACUCCAAUUAAA